GAGUCUAGCAUGUGCGCGAGUCAUUGGGACUCUAACGAAACCUAAAGGCGUAAUGAAAGUGAAGGUUCGCCUCGCGCGAACCGAGGGAGGAUGGACGGUCAUCGCUGACCGUCCCGCACUCCCUGGGCGUCUCGUUCUCAUCGCGAGAAGAGGCGCACCAAGAGCGUACACGCUGGGACCCGAAAGAUGGUGAACUAUGCCUGGUCAGGACGAAGUCAGGGGAAACCCUGAUGGAGGUCCGUAGCGAUUCUGACGUGCAAAUCGAUCGUCGGAACUGGGUAUAGGGGCGAAAGACUAAUCGAACCAUCUAGUAGCUGGUUCCCUCCGAAGUUUCCCUCAGGAUAGCUGGCGCUCGCUUCUCGCGAGUCUCAUUCGGUAAAGCGAAUGAUUAGAGGCAUUGGGGUCGAAACGGCCUCAACCUAUUCUCAAACUUUAAAUGGGUGAGAUCUCCGGCUUGCUUGAACUAUGAAGCCGCGAGAUAUCGGAUCAGAGUGCCAAGUGGGCCACUUUUGGUAAGCAGAACUGGCGCUGUGGGAUGAACCAAACGCCGAGUUAAAGCGCCUAAAUCGACGCUUAUGGGAUACCAUGAAAGGCGUUGGUAACUUAAGACAGCAGGACGGUGGCCAUGGAAGUCGGA
rnacentral:rRNA from 1 species